GAGAGUCGCAGAUACCAGGUGGCUGCAACUGUUUAUUAAAAACACAGCACUGUGCAAAAUCGUAAGAUGACGUAUACGGUGUGACGCCUGCCCGGUGCCGGAAGGUUAAUUGAUGGGGUUAGACUUCGGUCGAAGCUCUUGAUCGAAGCCCCGGUAAACGGCGGCCGUAACUAUAACGGUCCUAAGGUAGCGAAAUUCCUUGUCGGGUAAGUUCCGACCUGCACGAAUGGCGUAAUGAUGGCCACGCUGUCUCCACCCGAGACUCAGUGAAAUUGAAAUCGCUGUGAAGAUGCAGUGUACCCGCGGCUAGACGGAAAGACCCCGUGAACCUUUACUACAGCUUGGCACUGAACAUUGACCCUACAUGUGUAGGAUAGGUGGGAGGCUUUGAAGCAGGUACGCCAGUAUCUGUGGAGCCGUCCUUGAAAUACCACCCUUGUAGUGUUGAUGUUCUAACGUCGACCCCUUAUCGGGGUUGCGGACAGUGCCUGGUGGGUAGUUUGACUGGGGCGGUCUCCUCCCAAAGAGUAACGGAGGAGCACGAAGGUGGGCUAAUCACGGUUGGACAUCGUGAGGUUAGUGCAAUGGCAUAAGCCCGCUUGACUGCGAGAAUGACAAUUCGAGCAGGUGCGAAAGCAGGUCAUAGUGAUCCGGUGGUUCUGAAUGGAAGGGCCAUCGCUCAACGGAUAAAAGGUACUCCGGGGAUAACAGGCUGAUACCGCCCAAGAGUUCAUAUCGACGGCGGUGUUUGGCACCUCGAUGUCGGCUCAUCACAUCCUGGGGCUGAAGUCGGUCCCAAGGGUAUGGCUGUUCGCCAUUUAAAGUGGUACGCGAGCUGGGUUUAGAACGUCGUGAGACAGUUCGGUCCCUAUCUGCCGUGGGCGUUGGAAGAUUGAAGGGGGCUGCUCCUAGUACGAGAGGACCGGAGUGGACGAACCUCUGGUGUUCGGGUUGUGUCGCCAGACGCAUUGCCCGGUAGCUAAGUUCGGAAUCGAUAACCGCUGAAAGCAUCUAAGCGGGAAGCGAGCCCUGAGAUGAGUCUUCCCUGAUACUUUAAGUAUCCUAAAGGGUUGUCGGAGACUACGACGUUGAUAGGUCAGGUGUGUAAGUGCUGUGAGGCAUUGAGCUAACUGAUACUAAUUGCCCGUGAGGCUUAACCAUACAACACCCAAGGGGUUU
rnacentral:rRNA from 1 species